GUCUCGGUAGUGUAAGGAAUCGAGCACGUUGCUCGUAAAUCACAAGCAAGGGUUCGAGUCCCGUCCGAGACU
rnacentral:tRNA from 1 species